rnacentral:rRNA from 1 species
GUCAAAAAAAUAGGUUAAAAUAAUUAAGGGCACACAAAGGAUGCCUAGGUAGUAAGAGCCGAUGAAGGACGUGGUAAGCUGCGAUAAGCCUAGAUAAGUUGCAAUCGAACGUAAGAGUCUAGGAUUUCCGAAUGGAGCAAUCUAUUAAGAUGGAGUCUUAAUACGAAAGAGGGAACCGCGUGAACUGAAACAUCUAAGUAACGCGAGGAAAAGAAAGUAAAAACGAUACCCAAAGUAGCGGCGAGCGAAAUGGGUCAAGCCUAAACCUUAAAUAUGUCAAGGAUACAGCCGUUGUAUUUAAGGGGUUGAGGGACAGAGUAAUGAAGAACUGUAAGAUAUUCAAUAUAGUGUAUUGAUAAACUAGAAUAGUCUGGAAAGGUUAACCGUAGAAGGUGAAAGUCCUGUAUAGGUAAAUCCUUACACAUAUAACUUUGCUCCCAAGUAACAUGGAACACGAGGAAUUCUGUGUGAAUCAGUGAGGACCAUAUCUCAUAAGGCUAAAUACUCUUACUAACCGAUAGCGCAUAGUACCGUGAGGGAAAGGUGAAAAGAACCCCUGGAGGGGAGUGAAAUAGAACCUGAAAUUGUGUGCUUACAAGCGGUCAGAGCCCAUUUGGGUGAUGGCGUGCCUUUUGGAGAAUGAUCCUGCGAGUUACGUUAAACGGCGAGGUUAAGUAUAACGGAGCCGAAGGGAAACCAAGUCUUAAUAGGGCGAUUUAGUCGUUUGGCGUAGACGCGAAACCUGGUGAUCUAAACCUGUCCAGGAUGAAGCUGUGGUAAGACACAGUGGAGGUCCUAACCCACCGCCGUUGAAAAGUUGGGGGAUGAGGUAGGUUUAGGGGUGAAAAGCCAAUCGAACCAGGAGAUAGCUCGUUCUCUCCGAAAUGCAUCUAGGUGCAGCCUUGAGUGUUCAAUUAUGGGGGUAGAGCACUGAAUGAUCUAGGGGGCAUAUUGCUUACUGAAAUCAAUCAAACUCCGAAUACCAUAAUUUAUAGCUCAGGAGUGAGACUAUGGGAGUUAACUUCCAUUGUCAAAAGGGAAACAACCCAGACCACCAGCUAAGGUCCCUAAUUAUAACUAAGUGGGAAAGGAGGUGGAGAUUCACAAACAACUAGGAGGUUGGCUUAGAAGCAGCCAUACCUUUAAAGAGUGCGUAAUAGCUCACUAGUCGAGAGUCUCUGCGCCGACAAUGUAACGGGGCUAAGUUAUAAACCGAAGCUGUGGAAUCCGUAAGGAUUGGUAGGAGAGCGUUCUGUAGGCCGUUGAAGAAGAAGGGUAACCGACUUUGGAGGUAUCAGAAGUGAGAAUGCAGGAAUAAGUAGCGAGAAAGGGGGCGAGAAUCCCCCUCGCCGGAAGACCAAGGUUUUCAGGGUAAAGCUUGUCUUCCCUGAGUAAGCCGGGACCUAAGCCCAGGCUAUAAUGCGUAGGCGAAUGGAAAACAGAUUAAUAUUUCUGUGCCAGUCAUUUAUUGUGAUGGAGGGACGCAGAAGGGUAUGCGCGCGGACGAUCGGUUGUGUCCGUAGAAGUAUGUAGGGUGACUUAGUAGGUAAAUCCAUUAAGUUAUAUCUGAGGUAUGAUAUACAGUCGUAAGAUGAAUGCGCAAAUCCCACGCUGCCAAGAAAAGCUUCUAACGUUAAUAUAUGACUGCCCGUACUGUAAACCGACACAGGUGGUCAGGAUGAGAAAUCUAAGGCGGACAGGCUAACUCUCGUUAAGGAACUCUGCAAAAUAACCUCGUAACUUCGGGAGAAGAGGAGCCCUUGGGUGUUAGUAUCCGUGCGAUACAAAGCGCUCGAGGGUCGCAGUGAAGAGGCUCAAGCAACUGUUUAACAAAAACACAGGUCUAUGCUAAGCUGGAAGGCGAUGUAUAUGGGCUGACACCUGCCCAGUGCUGGAAGGUUAAGAGGAGGAGUGAGAGCUCCGAAUUGAAGCCCCAGUGAACGGCGGCCGUAACUAUAACGGUCCUAAGGUAGCGAAAUUCCUUGUCGGGUAAGUUCCGACCUGCACGAAUGGUGUAAUGAUUUGAGCGCUGUCUUGACGGGAGGCCUGGUGAAAUUGUAUUACCGGUGAAGAUACCGGUUACCUACAGUAGGACGGAAAGACCCCAUGGAGCUUUACUGUAGCUUGGUAUUGGGUUUUGGCAUUGCAUGUAUAGGAUAGUUGGGAGACUAUGAUGAUAUGGCGCUAGCUGUAUCGGAGUCAUCGGUGGAAUACCAACCAUUCAAUGCUGAAAUUCUAAUCUGUGGUUUGUAGCCACGGAGACAGUGCUAGGUGGGCAGUUUGACUGGGGCGGUCGCCUCCGAAAGAGUAACGGAGGCGUUCAAAGGUUCUCUCAGGUUGGAUGGAAAUCAACCAUAGAGUGCAAUGGCAUAAGAGAGCUUGACUGCAAGACUGACGGGUCGAGCAGAUGCGAAAGCAGGACAUAGUGAUCCGGCGAUUCCGAAUGGAAGGGUCGUCGCUCAACGGAUAAAAGCUACCCUGGGGAUAACAGGCUGAUCCUACCCGAGAGUCCAUAUCGACGGUAGGGUUUGGCACCUCGAUGUCGGCUCAUCGCAUCCUGGGGCUGGAGAAGGUCCCAAGGGUUGGGCUGUUCGCCCAUUAAAGCGGUACGUGAGCUGGGUUCAGAACGUCGUGAGACAGUUCGGUCCCUAUCCACUGUAGGCGUUAGAAUAUUGAGAAGACCUGUCCUUAGUACGAGAGGACCGGGAUGGACAAACCUCUGAUGUACCAGUUGUCACGCCAGUGGCACAGCUGGGUAGUCACGUUUGGAAUAGAUAACCGCUGAAAGCAUCUAAGCGGGAAACUAACUUCAAGAUAAGUAUUCUUUAAGAUACCUUCGAGCCUAGGAGGUUGAUAGGUUGGGGGUGUAAGUACAGCAAUGUAUUUAGCUGACCAAUACUAAUUAUCAAAGUUUUAAUCUAAUUUGUUUUUACUAUAUAGUUUC